GUCCAAUAAUUAGUGUUUUUCCGUAGGGUAAUUUAUCUCGCAUUGAUUUUUUUAAGCAUUAGUGUAUAUCUUACCACUCCCUUGGAUGUGAUCAAAACAAGACUGCACGUACAAGGAUCAACCUUGAGGUACAAAGGCUGGUUGGAUGCAAUUCGCAGCGUAUGGAGGGCCGAAGGGGUUACAUGGUAUAUUCCAGCUUCAGCACUUACGUUUAUGGCUGUAGAAUUUAUGAGAGAACAUUUCAACGAAGGAUUGAUCAACGAGAACACCCCAGAAGUUGCUAGCAUGUCAGUGUAGAAAUACAUGCAUAGAUUCUUUUGCCCAUCAUGUAGUUCUGACGAGACUUUCGUCGUGUUUUCGUGUAGUACGUGUACAUACACACAUAUAAAUUGCAUUUUUUCCAAGGAAAGAAAAGAGAUUUAGUUACGUA